rnacentral:rRNA from 1 species
CCUACGGGAGGCAGCAGUGGGGAAUAUUGCGCAAUGGGCGAAAGCCUGACGCAGCGACGCCGCGUGAGGGAUGAAGGUCUUCGGAUCGUACACCUCUGUCAGCAGGGAAGAACGGUCACUGUGUUAAUCAGCAGUGAAUUGACGGUACCUGCAAAGGAAGCACCGGCUAACUCCGUGCCAGCAGCCGCGGUAAUACGGAGGGUGGGAGCGUUUAUCGGAAUUACUGGGCGUAAAGCGCUCGUAGGCGGUAUGUGAAGGCAAGGGUGAAAUCCCCGCGCUCAACGUGGGAACUGCCUGUGAAACUGGCAAACUAGAGUGUGUGAGAGGAGAGUGGAAUUACAGGGGU